rnacentral:lncRNA from 1 species
UGCCAACAACUGUCCAUCAAUGCACUACGGGCCAAUGAGGACUUUUUCCACAUCAUUUAUAACAUUACGGUCAUGAUUACACCGAAUAAUCCCUGGUCAUAAUCAUACCAAGUCCAUCUAUGCACUAUAGGCCACAGAUGACUUUCAACAUAAUAUAAACAUGAGGAUGAUGACAAUGAUAUAAGAAUUCAAUAAAACAAGUUCAAGAAUUAAUU